rnacentral:lncRNA from 1 species
GCUUGCUUCCCUUUGCAUUCAUUGUUCAGCCUGAGUUUCAGCGUUGCAAUAAUGCUGGUCGCAGCAGCGAGAAAAGUGUUGAGGCUAUGAAACUUCCAGUCAUUCCUCACUGUGAUAAGUGCCUAAACCUGAAUGAGAACUCAUAGCCACACUAUUUCAGUGUGGCUUUCAACUGCAUAUCGAUAAACAUACAGACUGCAUUUGAGUGUUCCUUCAAGGAUUUGAUUUCAGAGCCCUCAUCAGCCUGAUCACCGUUUUCCUGGUUGUGCUGUAAUUAAUUAAUUAACUAGACAAUUAUUUAUGGAGCAAUAUUGCUAUGCACAGUACUAUCCAGAAUUGCAAAGCAGAACCAUACAUUUGAAAACCCUUUGUAUGAACUAUGCAGCUUGUCAUUUCGGAUGCUAUGACUGUUGGAGCCAUACCAAAAUAAAGAUGAGUAAAAUCAGAAAAUGAGAGAAAUGAGUACAGGUAGGUUUAGCCAUUCUUUGUUUCAAGUAAUUUCUGCUAGAAAUUGAGAUUGCUUAUUUUAUUUAUUUAUUUACAGUAUUUUUAUUCCGCCCUUCUCAGCCCAAAGAGGACUCAGGGCAGAUCACAAUGUACAUAUGCAUGGCAAACAUUCAGUGCCAUUAGACAUAAGACACUCACAGACAAAGACACAGAGGUUAUUUAACAUUCUCCAGCUUCUGGCUUCAUGAGGGUAUGCUUGAUUCCGGCCACAGGGGGAGCUGCCGUUCACCGUCCACUUGUGACCCCGAGUCCUUGAUGGAGUGCUUCCUCAUUCCUUUUCUGCAUGCUGUUGGAAGUUUUUUAUGGUGUUGUAAAUUUGUUAAAUGAGCCUCCCCACAUAAAGUGGUACCUAUAUUUAUUUAUUAUUUAAACUUAUAUGCCGCCACUCCCCUAGGGCUCGGGGCGGCUUACAAGAAAGGCUAAAAUCUAACAAUUUAAAAACAUCUUUAAAAUAUCUUUAAAAAAUAAAUCUUAAAUCUUAUUUCCUACUCGACAGAUGCAACUGUCUUUGGGGCAGCAUAGAUCAACAGAAAUCUAGACUAUUAGUGGUUGGGAUCUCACUCCGACCCAGGCUGGCUUUGAACUCAUGACCUCUCGGUCAGUAGUGAUUUAUUGUAGCUGGCUACUAACCAGCUACGCCACAGCCCAGUCUUUAUUAUAUGUGAUUAUUAUAUGAUUAUGAAAUGUUAUGAUUCACAAGUGACUAGAACUCAAAAACAAAUAGAAAAAGCUUGUUGUAAAAAAUUAUUUUGUGGAAUUUUCACAAAAAAUAUAAUGAACUGCGAAACAU